rnacentral:rRNA from 1 species
AAUUACCCACUUCCCGGCACGGGGAGGUAGUGACAAAAAAUAACGAUACGGGACUCUUAUGAGGCCCCGUAAUCGGAAUGAGUACACUCUAAAUUCUUUAACAAGGAUCCAUUGAAGGGCAAGUCUGGUGCCAGCAGCCGCGGUAAUUCCAGCUUCAAUAGCGUAUAUUAAAGUUGUUGCGGUUAAAAAGCUCGUAGUUGGUUCUGCGUGCCACGCYGUCGGUUCGCCGCCUGCCGGUGUAACUGGCAUGCCGUGGCAUGUCCUGUCGGUGGCGUUCGGGAGCUCUGUCAAGGUGACGGCCCUUGCCAAAAGCUUGGUGUCCGGAGGCCGGGGGUAUUUCCGUUCGCCUACUCUAUCCUACCUAGGUGCUCUUCACCGAGUGUCGAGGUAGGCCGACACGUUUACUUUGAACAAAUUAGAGUGCUCAAAGCAGGCUGAAAUCUCUGCCUGAAUAGUGGUGCAUGGAAUAAUAAAACAGGACCUUGGUUCUAUUUUGUUGGUUCUUAGGAACACAAGGUAAUGAUCAAUACGGACAGGCGGGGGCAUUCGUAUUGCGACGUUAGAGGUGAAAUUCUUGGAUCGUCGCAAGACGCACAAGAGCGAAAGCAUUUGCCAAGUAUGUCUUGAUUGAUCAAGAACGAAAGUUAGAGGUUCGAAGGCGAUCAGAUACCGCCCUAGUUCUAACCAUAAACGAUGCCAGCCAGCGAUCCGCCGAUGUUCCUCCGAUGACUCGGCGGGGAGCUUCUUCCCGGGAAACCAAAGCUUUUGGGUUCCGGGGGAAGUAUGGUUGCAAAGCUGAAACUUAAAGGAAUUGACGGAAGGGCACCACCAGGAGUGGAGCCUGCGGCUUAAUUUGACUCAACACGGGAAACCUCACCAGGCCAGGACAUUGGAAGGAUUGACAGAUUGAUAGCUCUUUCUUGA